UAUCAAUAAGCGGAGGAAAGAAAUCCUGGGGGCCACCCGACUUCGGUAGGGUUUAGAGUCGUCAGGCCUCUCGGAGAAGCCUGGUCCAGACCUCCACCCUUGAAUAAAUUACCUUUGUUGCUUUGGCAGGGCGCCUCGCGCCAGCGGCUUCGGCUGUUGAGUACCUGCCAGAGGACCACAACUCUUGUUUUUAGUGAUGUCUGAGUACUAUAUAAUAGUUAAAACUUUCAACAACGGAUCUCUUGGUUCUGGCAUCGAUGAAGAACGCAGCGAAAUGCGAUAAGUAAUGUGAAUUGCAGAAUUCAGUGAAUCAUCGAAUCUUUGAACGCACAUUGCGCCCUCUGGUAUUCCGGGGGGCAUGCCUGUUCGAGCGUCAUUAUAACCACUCAAGCUCUCGCUUGGUAUUGGGGUUCGCGGUUUCGCGGCCUCUAAAAUCAGUGGCGGUGCCUAUCGGCUCUACGCGUAGUAAUACUCCUCGCGUCUGGGUCCGGUAGGUCUACUUGCCAACAACCCCCAAUUUUUUACAGGUUGACCUCGGAUCAGGUAGGGAUACCCGCUGAACUUAAGCAUAUCAAUUAAGCGGAGCA
rnacentral:misc_RNA from 1 species